rnacentral:lncRNA from 1 species
CGCAGGUGUGCGGUUUAGUGAAGGAGCAAGGCUUAUGUGAAUAGAAGAAUCCAAGGUAGAGCAGGAAGAGAAAUCCAGCUAGAGAAAGAGGUGGAAGUGAAAAUAAGUAGACUCUUAUUUUAAAUUUUUAAUGGCUUCUUGGUGGCUUCAAGAUAAAAGAUAGACAAUGAGGAGCUUUGUGUUUGGGAAAAGAAUAAAAGUCAACUGUAGCAAAACGUCUCAGAAGUAGGAUUUAUAAACAGUUCUCAAAGGAUGCACAUGAAAAUGUAAUUUCUUGGGAAAGCGGCAAACAGAAAAGAAUCAAACCGCAGUUGUGUGUGGCAAGGAUAAAUAUGCAACGCAUCAUCAAUAGGAUUUGUUGGGUGAAUAAAAAAGCCUUUUAGCCAAUAAUAUGUAAGCAGAAGAAUGGGGCAGGAGUUAGAGAGAACCCUCAAGCAAUAAUGGAGGCCACUGGAGAGGCAAGACUGCCAAAGGCUAAGUUAUUGACCCAGUAUUUUU